rnacentral:lncRNA from 1 species
CCAGCCCCCACCCAGGCGUCUCAAUUUUUGGUGACUGUGCCCGUAGUUCAGAUGGUCCGUUGGGUUCUUGAUCGGUUUUUCCGUACUCCGACUUACUGCUACACUCUUCUCUGCAUCUGGGGAUUCCUCCGGUUCAUUUGAUCUUUCGCCCGGUAGGUGACUUUCCAGGGUGCGGGAUCCCUUUCUCCUCCGCAGUUCCCUUUCGGGAGCGCCCGUCCCGCUCGGAUUCACUUUCUCUCACUCUCCUCUUUUCUCCCGUUCUGCCCAGUAAUGUCACGAACUUCUUGCCGUUAUUGGAGUUUAGGUUCCUCUGCCAGCGAUUGGUUGCUGUUCUGUGCGAGUCAUUUAUUCUGUAGAUGUGCUUUUUUUGUUGUGUUUGUGGGAGAGGGCGAGCGUGUCCCCCUACUCCUCCGCCAUCUUGUCCUCCCAAACUCUAAUUCUUAAAAGCAGUUGGAUUUCAACCAUCAGUACCUAGUCUUCUGUCCCUACAAAAUUUAUUUUUAACUUUGAGGGAAAACUAGUAGAAAUAAAUCUAUACUUGAUUUUGUCCAUAAGCACUUUCGUGCCUGCUUUUUAACUUGAAGGACUGGAUUUGUCAAAGGGAGAACCUUUGCCUUUUUUCAUUCUCAAGAGUUGAGAGGAGAAAAUAAAUUUUUCCAUCAACCUCUGCCCCACUAAUCCAAAUAAAGUGAUUUUUUAUGUUUUGAGGCAGCUGAACUUCUAAUCCACAGGUCAGACUUAGGCUAAAGAACAGACAAAUAAUUCAUGACACAUCCAUAUUAGCUGCCUCAUGCCAUUAUCACUGAGGGUGGUUUAUUGGGGGAGAUUCAAUCACAUCAGAACCCAAGGUUCAACUUGAAUAUAGUAUGAGCUCUCUUUGUCCAUAUUGAGCCAUUUCAACAUUCAUCAGAACUUUAAGCAAAUGUGUUGGUAUGAAAUUAUUUUAAAUCAGAAGUUCUCCUUUGGGCUGUAUAUUGUAUACUCACAUACAUAAAAAUGACACUGAUCUGAUUUGAUCAAGCGAUAUCAUAUUAUCUCAUUUCACACAACCUCAUGUCCUUCUCUUAAUUUCUCCAUAGCCUAAAAUUUUUUAUGACACCAUGCCCUUAUGGAUGCCAAUUUAAUCAACCCGCUCAACCUGGCCCUGUCUAACAAGCCUCACAGUAUUAAUUAUUCUGUCACAUUCAGAUAAGGAAAUUCAAGAAGGAGACCCAGGUACCUUAGGAGCUUGACAUGGAGGCCUAGGGUGUCCUCAUCAAUGGGGCCAGCAACCUAAUUCAUAGUAACUUUGAAAGACUCAAACUAUACCUCCAUCUCCAAAAUUAUCCCUCCUUUAUGCCCCAUAUCACUUUUAAGGUGUCAAUACCUAAUAGGGUUAGCCCUGGAAAAAGGGAAAGUAUCUACAUUUAAAAGAGAAGGUACUGCUUACUCCAAAGUUAACUCUUAGCUAGUCUGAGUGAAAGAAAUAAUUACUAUAACUUCCCACAGUUAUCACUCAUUCCUCUUUUUUAGCCACACCCACAGAAGUUCCCAGAGCAGGGAUCAAACACAGCAGUGACCCAAGCCACAGCAGUGACCCGAGCCACAGCAGUGACCCGAGCCACAGCAAUGACAAUACCAGACCCUUAACUGCUAGACCACCAGAGAACUGCCCUUCCUCUUCUUUCUUAGCAAUAAUAUCUGCUGGAAUAAGUCAUAUUUAGACAAAGAGUGAAUCAGCAUACCAUUUUUGGAGUAUUUGAAGCUAUAAGCAGUAAUUUUGAAAGGUUGAGGGUAUUUUUAAACUUCUUUUGGGGAGUUCCCUUCGUGGCUCAGUGGUUAACGAAUCCGACUAGGAACCAUGAGGUUGCAGGUUCGAUCCCUGGCCUUGCUCAGUGGGCUAAGGAUCUGGCAUUGCCGUGAGCUGUGGUGUAGGUUGCAGACGCAGUUCAGAUAUCUCGUUGCUGUGGUUCUGGCGUAGGCCGGUGGCUACAGCUCCAAUUAGACACCUAGCCUGGGAACCUCCAUAUGCUGUGGGUGCAGCCCUAGAAAAGACAAAAAAUAAACUUCUUUUGGGUUACACAUAAUGCCUAAAACCAAAAGGUUACAUUUUACUAAGCUAAAUGCUUCUUCAAACAGAAUCUGUUUUGGUGUUCCUUUGUAGGUUAAGGAUCCAGCAUUGUCACUGCAGCAGCCCAGGUCAUUGCUGUGGCAUGGGUUCAAUCCCUGGCCUGGGAAUUUCCACAUGCCACAGGCCAAAAAAAUUUAUACUGAAAAUUCUACUAAAAUUACUGUGAAAAUUUCCACGGUAUGAAAGUAAAUUAGUUAACUAAGAGAGUGAAAAACAUAAGAAAUUCUGGGCCAAUCUCAGGUAUAUUCCAUUCAAGAUUCUCUCUACGUCAAGGUAUUCAGAGACAAUUCAUGAAAACUAUGGCAGCAGUCCCACAAUUUUUCAACAAAACCUCCAUAAAUUAAUCAUGAAUUAAUCUAAAUUAACAGGUGGUUCUUAAUUGGAGGUGGAGGGUUUAACCCUUUGGAGAAGCUACAAUUCAUCUAAACUAGUUCUUCACUCUUUGGAAAUUGAAAAUCUCAGGAAGGCUAUGAACUUUAUCCAAGAAAACAGGUGAAGGUGUGUGCGUGUGUGUGUGUGUGUGUGCAUGAACACACACAUAUACACACACACUACAGAUAACCACUUGUGUAUAUGAAGUCAUGGAGUUUAGAGAACUGGCUUAAGAAUUGCUCUGCAGAGAAUUAUCUCAUAAUGGCCCUAUUCUAUUACAGAAUAGAAAUGGAUAAACACAGUCAGUUUUUAAGAUAACUAAGAAAACUAUAUUUGAUAGCAGCACAUAUAAAAAAAUACAUGACUGGAAAAAUAAACCAUGUACACUAUACAUUCAUCAUAGAGUGAAAAAAAGUCUGGCCUUUGAAAAUGAUCAUAAACUAGAUGAACUUGGCCUUAAGAGAGGCCAGAAGGGGGUUCCCGUAGUGGUGCAGUGGUUAACUAAUCUGACUAGGAACCAUGAGGUUGUAAGUUCGAUCCCUGGCCUUGCUCAGUGGGUUGAGGAUCCGGUGUUGCCGUGAGCUGUGGUGUAGGUUGCAGACGCGGCUCAGAUCCCACAUUGCUGUGGCUGUGGUGUAGGCCGGUGGCUACAACUCCAAUUAGACCCCUAGCCUGGGAACCUCCAUAUGCCGCGGGAGCGGCCCAAGAAAUGGCAAAAAUACAAAAAAAAAAAAAAAAAAAAAA